rnacentral:rRNA from 1 species
AUUGAACGCUGGCGGCAUGCUUUACACAUGCAAGUCGAACGGCAGCGCGGGCUUCGGCCUGGCGGCGAGUGGCGAACGGGUGAGUAAUACAUCGGAACGUGCCCAGUAGUGGGGGAUAGCUCGGCGAAAGCCGGAUUAAUACCGCAUACGACCUGAGGGUGAAAGCGGGGGAUUUUCGGACCUCGCGCUAUUGGAGCGGCCGAUGGCAGAUUAGCUAGUUGGUGGGGUAAAGGCCUACCAAGGCGACGAUCUGUAGCUGGUCUGAGAGGACGACCAGCCACACUGGGACUGAGACACGGCCCAGACUCCUACGGGAGGCAGCAGUGGGGAAUUUUGGACAAUGGGCGAAAGCCUGAUCCAGCAAUGCCGCGUGUGUGAUGAAGGCCUUCGGGUUGUAAAGCACUUUUGGCGGGAACGAAAAGGACUGUGCCAAUACCACGGUUCGAUGACGGUACCCGCAGAAUAAGCACCGGCUAACUACGUGC